GGGGUAAUGGCCUACCAAGGCGACGACGGGUAGCCGGCCUGAGAGGGCGACCGGCCACACUGGGACUGAGACACGGCCCAGACUCCUACGGGAGGCAGCAGUGGGGAAUAUUGCACAAUGGGCGAAAGCCUGAUGCAGCGACGCCGCGUGAGGGAUGACGGCCUUCGGGUUGUAAACCUCUUUCAGCAGGGAAGAAGCGAAAGUGACGGUACCUGCAGAAGAAGCGCCGGCUAACUACGUGCCAGCAGCCGCGGUAAUACGUAGGGCGCAAGCGUUGUCCGGAAUUAUUGGGCGUAAAGAGCUCGUAGGCGGCUUGUCACGUCGGAUGUGAAAGCCCGGGGCUUAACCCCGGGUCUGCAUUCGAUACGGGCUAGCUAGAGUGUGGUAGGGGAGAUCGGAAUUCCUGGUGUAGCGGUGAAAUGCGCAGAUAUCAGGAGGAACACCGGUGGCGAAGGCGGAUCUCUGGGCCAUUACUGACGCUGAGGAGCGAAAGCGUGGGGAGCGAACAGGAUUAGAUACCCUGGUAGUCCACGCCGUAAACGUUGGGAACUAGGUGUUGGCGACAUCCACGUCGUCG
rnacentral:rRNA from 1 species